GGCGGCAGGCUUAACACAUGCAAGUCGAGCGGUAACAGGAAUUAGCUUGCUAAUUUGCUGACGAGCGGCGGACGGGUGAGUAACGCGUAGGAAUCUGCCUAGUAGUGGGGGACAACAUGUGGAAACGCAUGCUAAUACCGCAUACGCCCUACGGGGGAAAGGAGGGGAUCUUCGGACCUUUCGCUAUUAGAUGAGCCUGCGUGAGAUUAGCUAGUUGGUGGGGUAAAGGCCUACCAAGGCGACGAUCUCUAGCUGGUCUGAGAGGAUGAUCAGCCACACUGGGACUGAGACACGGCCCAGACUCCUACGGGAGGCAGCAGUGGGGAAUAUUGGACAAUGGGCGCAAGCCUGAUCCAGCCAUGCCGCGUGUGUGAAGAAGGCCUUAGGGUUGUAAAGCACUUUCAGGAGUGAGGAAGGUUACAUAGUUAAUACCUGUGUAAUUUGACGUUAACUCCAGAAGAAGCACCGGCUAACUCUGUGCCAGCAGCCGCGGUAAUACAGAGGGUGCGAGCGUUAAUCGGAAUUACUGGGCGUAAAGCGCGCGUAGGCGGUUUGUUAAGUCGGAUGUGAAAUCCCAGGGCUCAACCUUGGAAUGGCACCCGAUACUGGCAGGCUAGAGUACGGUAGAGGGGUGUGGAAUUUCCUGUGUAGCGGUGAAAUGCGUAGAUAUAGGAAGGAACAUCAGUGGCGAAGGCGACACCCUGGACCGAUACUGACGCUGAGGUGCGAA
rnacentral:rRNA from 3 species